UCGAUAGUUCAUCUUGAGUGUGUUAUAGUUUGACUAUACCAUAACUCGAUCUCCUAGCCAUUCGAAAUCCUGAGGUGUAUGUUGUCUGUACCAUAUUCAUUGUAGGAACUAGGUCGCACCAAGAUGGGAUCUAUCAACCACGGUAGAUGAGAGGAGUAGUCCUAUGAUGAUCGAAAGAUCGAGUCCUUAAGCCCAUGGC
rnacentral:lncRNA from 1 species